UGUUGUAGUUUUCUCCUUUUUGGCCCUGCAGAAUAAAAUAUUAUUAUUUCUUUCAGCGUCGCUGCUCAUCGCGCCACCGCGGAGAUGCCAUCCUGUACCAGGCAUCGGACAAUCUGGCCCGUCAGGCCUGAUGAGAUGAUCCAGAUUUGUUUCUUGAAAACGCCGGCGACUGUUCGUAAGUCCAACCGAUUGGCAAGGUGCCUAGGCUGGACGGUUUUUGCAGGUAAGUAUUAUGUUUGUAUUUGUUUAUUUAUAUAGUUGCAUUAUUUGUUGUUUUUCAGGUAUAUUUUUCAGGUCGGCUAUUCUGAAGGUACUUUUGUAGCAGCUAAUUUUGAGGCCGUCGUAGCUGUGAUGCCGUGGUUUUAGGUUAUUCAAGUUUGCGAUUAAUCUGAAGGUACAUUUGUUGCAGCUCAUAUUGAGGCCGUCGCUGCUGGGAUCCCUUGGUUUUGAUUUCUUUACGUUUGCGAUUAAUCUGGAGGUACGUUUGUAGCAGCUAAUAUUAAUGCCGACGCAACUGGGAUGCCAAGGAAUUGGGUUCUUAAAGUUUGCGAUUAAUCUGGAGGUACGUUUGUAGCAGCUAAUAUUAAAGCCAUCGAAGCUGGGAUGCCGUGGUUUUGAGUUCUUCAAGUUUGCGGUUGGUCUGGAGGUGCAGUUGUAGCAACUCUUAUUUAGGCCGUCGCAGCUGGGAUGCCGUGGUUUUGGGUUUUUUAAGUUUGCAGUUAAUUCUGGAGGGUACAUUUGUAGCGACUCAUAUUAAGGCCGUCGCAGUUGGGAUGCCGUGGUUUUGGGUUCUUCAACUGCAACUGCUUCGCUGCUGCUGAUGGUGGUGGCUGCGUCGCCUCUGUUGCUGCUGUCGGUGGCAUCUGCGUCGCUGCUAUUGCUGCUGAUGUUUGUGACUGAGUAGCUGCUGUUUCUGCUGAUGGUGAUGACUGCGUAGCUGCGGGUGGCGACUGCAUCGCUGGUGGUGGUGAGUGCGUCGCUGCUGAUUGCUGCUGUAAUAGCUACGGGCUGGCGGGCUGUGCUGACCUGGAGCCGUCGUUGAGCUGCUAUCCGGCCGGAUCGUCGUCGUCUUCGCCAUUAUACGGUUCGUUGUUGCUGUUUGCCACACCGCCACGGAGACGCUAGCUUGAGUGGAAACAGCCUGCCUGGUCAGUCUACCCUGAUGCGAGCAUACAAACUGCAGCUGGAGGGAGGCAUUCGUCGAGUCCAACGUAGUUGCCAGGAGACAUGCUAGGGUAAAACGCCGCUGUUAAUUUGUUCCAGUGUGUUGACCAGGGUCAAGACAAAAAGUCGGGUCGUCAAAAUUUCCAAAUGGCUGUUGAGGCAAGAAAACUCCCUGCUGUUGCUGCAGCUGCUUGUUGUUGCUUCUGCUGGGGAAUGUGUUUACACCUGCUGAUCCCGUUUAUUAAUGAAGGCGCUACUUGUUGCUGCUGUGCUGACAUCGGAGUGGUAGGCGAGAGACAAGUUGGCAUCAUUCUCGAGGCUCCCAACAGGCCUGGUCAUCUUACAUUCCAAUGUCACUGAUCACCACAUCCUACACUGUGAUGCCAGCAUGUAUCAGGCGUCGGCCAUUCGGGUCCGUCAGCCCUGAUGCAGGCAUCCCAAUUUUGGCAGGAAGGAAAACAAGCGCCGCAGUUCAGGUGCUUUUACAGGAACACGCCGGUUUUCAGGAAUGAAAUUUUAUUGUAUUUUUUUAAAAAAGAGAAGGAAAACUAAAAAAUUAUUCUCUUUCUUUCAGGAAAACGGUGGUGAAGUGCCAGACAAAGCGGCAGAUGGAGCCUUCAUAAAGCGGCGAUUGUUUCAGGCACAAAUCCAUCAGUUUGGAAUGAGAGACGGAUCACCAGUGAUGCAUUCACCAUCUCGCCAGGAUAGCGCAAUUCGAUUGCGUAGUCUAUAUCAUCCAGUAGGUGUUAUAAGUUAGAUUUUACCAUUUAUAUGUAAGACAUUUCCCUUUAUAAAAUAACCUGUAAGUGA